CCGAUGGAGAUGGAAGUGCGCGCUCAACCUCCUCCGAGACUGAGAGUUAUUAGCAACGCAGCUGAGAGACCGCUAGGCAGCCCCUCCAGCCCACCAGACGCCCAACUCUGCUGCAGGCUAGUGCCUCCCGCCGCCUCCUCGUGUUUUUCUCUACGGUCCCGGCCACAUAGUAUGAUCAUUCGGUGUUCAGUUUCCCAACAACUUUCUAUGGAAAAUCAAGGGAAGUGGGCCAUGGUUGCCGUGAGCAACUUUGAAGAGCGGGACACCUUUAGAGAAGCUUGAUCAAGGUGCCAUCAUCGUGAGACCCUCCAAAUCAGGGUAAGGGUCCCUCGGGGUAGGUCUAGCGUUGGUGCUUCAAAUGAUUGGCAGUCUUCAGUGGAAGAGACCUUUGUGAAGCUGGAUGAGUGUGAAAAUGAUAUGGGGAUUCAUUGGGAUCAAUGCAAAAUCCUUCCUCUAACAGGUUUAAAAAAAUAAAUUGCUCAAGGACAGAAUAGGGUAGGGCUUU
rnacentral:lncRNA from 1 species